CUUCAUAUCCAUCAUCAACGACACUGGAAUACUAUGAGUUCCUAUCCUAAACAGCCCCAAUCCCUACACCUUCCAUUAGUUUCUCACUCUCUGCCCGGAGAAAUCUUUCUGUCCAACACCGGGUACAAGAACCAUACCCAUAUUUGCAUCGCCAUUUUUUUCUCUCUCAUACUCUCUCUCUCGUCGCUCUCUCCUCUCUUUUCUUCUCGUACAAGGAUCUUGUCGUUGGUGUGGGGAUUUGUGAUGAAAUGUUUGGGUCCUUAUAGAGUUGUUUGGCGCUUUUUCCAGAAUGGUGAAAUUUGUUGCCUUUUCUGUACAAUAUUAAUUGUGUACCCAUUUCUUAAAUAUUUGGGUGUGUUGAGGUGGCUGCGAUAUUUGGCCGCCGUCGCCGGCGUCAGCAUGGGAAAUUUGACUCACGGUCUCUUGCCCAAAUGUUUAAAGUUGGAAAAGUUAGGCAUGUAAUUUCACAACAGUAAUACUUAGAUGAUCGCAUAAGGCUACCAUAUUUUCGUAGCAUGUGAUGGAAUGUGGUACAAGAGUGGGUGCACCACCGGUUUGUGGAUUAACUAAAAGAAAACGAACUGAAGUAAUAAUUCACAGAAUUAAGAACAAGAACAACUUAGCCUAGGGGAACUGAUCAAGUUCAGUUCAAAUAGUUAUUAAUCCGAUAGCAAAGCCAAAACAUUAAAUCUUAUAAUAACAUCUAAAGCCAAAAAUAAUACCAGCCCCCCCCACGUUGAAAAUAGCAUAACAUCCAGUAUACAGUAUAGUAAAAACACUAGCCAGUUCAGAUUAGUUUCGAAACAUGGUAUGUAAUAAAGAAUAGAACCGAACCAGAUAUAUAAACCAGUUUCUCUAAAUUUGAAAUCCAGACCGAAUCAUUUAAAUACCGUGUUACCCAUCAAUUUUUUUACAUUCACAGAGUAGUGUACAACCUUUUUUUGGUCUCUUUACAUGGGCGUUUGUGCUUUUCUUUCUUUCUUUGUAUAAUGGGUUGGAUUUGGUUUCAGACUCUCUCUUGCCAUGUCUUACCAAAGAAAAAGCCAUUAAUUGAAAGAAGUAUACCAUAUAUAUCAUCAUAACACAUUCCAUUAAAUAAUACAGAUGUUAGUUUCUUUUCUAAUAUCUUCAUUGCACAUGCCUAGCGUACAAGAAGUUUUUAGAGAGUGCUAGUUUUUCACAUUAAACCCAUAAUGUGAUUAGCUUAAACAGAAAACGGUUCCAUGUCAAGCAAUAAACCUCACUAUUCCAACAAAUGAUCAUCAGUUACCAUACAGUACCCAACAAAAUAGCAAUUUUCUCUCCAAAAUGGUAGUAGUUUGCGUUUGCGUGUUUGCUAGUAACAUCACUAAGAUAAUUUGUGUACCCUCUCAAUCUCUCUCGUACAGGUAUCUCCAUUAUAAACGUGAUUCCAUUACAACAACACAACACCUAGCCCUAACCAUAUUCACAACCUCAUUUUUUUUUUAACAUCCCUCUGUUAGUAAUUUUGCACUGUUUGUUUGUUCAACAACCAAAAGAUAAGCCGCAGUUUCGCCAUUCACAGGCUAUGAGAUCGCUAAUGAACUAAAUUUCCAAUCUUCACCUCAGAGACCAGUCAGGAUUUUGUAUAUUUAGGAGAACAUCUUGACCCACUUUCGCCAGAUUCAGGGAUUGUCAUUUUACCCUAAUUUUCCUGAAGCUUUAUAUGGAAGCCCAUAAGGAAAUGAAUCAUUAGUGAUCUAAUUUCCUUUCUAUGAUGCAACUUCGGUGACAGUGGGGUAGUGCCUCCAAACCUUAAAAUUAAAUGUGACACAAAAUCAUCAUCAAUUGUUUCAUUCCAACCCUCUCGUCUACCACUACAGCUCCGUUUGGAACCCACUUAAUUUGAAGUUUUGAUUGCCUUUUUGUGCUUAAAAUAAGCAAAAGCCCGUCAGAAUUAUUUUUUUUGCUUUGUGUAAGUUUUUGCUUAUUUGCUUAUUUUUACUAAGUAGAGCAGAAAAAUUAAAAAAGCACAAAUUUUUUAAUUUUUUCGAUAUAACCUUAAAAAAAAACUUGACUUUCAAGUAUUACCUAAACGUAGCGCCUAUAUUUUGGUACCAGGGUGAGCCAAAUUUCAUGUUUGUUGGCCACUAGCUAGGUGCAAGCAGUGGUCAAUCAGGGGCGGGCGAACAUUCAAGUUCCCAUUAAUUGUUAUUAAUUAAGCAUAGGAGUACGAGUAUAUGGCACAGCCUGCCUCGGAUAAGUUCAUUUUUUUCAAUGAACACGGAUCCGCUCAUAAAGGCAAAUUCGCUAAAAAUGAUAAAAUAUUCCCGGUACGAUGAUUGAUGUGUUGUAAGGGUUAAUCAAAAUCUUCAUUGCAUAGGUUAAUUUUGCAUGGUGCUUUAUGACUAAUUAGUAAAUAUGGGACCCAAUUUUGUAAGUUAAGAGAUUUGUUAAUUGAGGAAUAUAUGGGUUGUCCAAUGAAAAUGUUAAAAAUCUUGGUUACACCCAAUUAUUUUCUUACUAAUUGAAUACUAGC
rnacentral:lncRNA from 1 species